UACGGAGGGGGCUAGCGUUGUUCGGAAUUACUGGGCGUAAAGCGCACGUAGGCGGCUUUGCAAGUUAGAGGUGAAAGCCCGGGGCUCAACUCCGGAAUUGCCUUUAAAACUGCAUCGCUAGAAUUGUGGAGAGGUAAGUGGAAUUCCGAGUGUAGAGGUGAAAUGCGUAGAUAUCGGAAGGAACAUCAGUGGCGAAAGCGACUUCCUGGACCAGUACCGACGUUCAGGCACGAAAGCGUGGGGAGCAAACAGG
rnacentral:rRNA from 1 species